rnacentral:rRNA from 1 species
UACAGAGGUGGCAAGCGUUGUUCGGAAUUACUGGGCGUAAAGGGCGCGUAGGCGGUCUUGUAAGUUCUGUGUGAAAUCCCUCGGCUCAACUGAGGAACUGCACGGAAAACUGCGAGGCUUGAGUUCGGGAGAGGGAAGCGGAAUUCCGGGUGUAGCGGUGAAAUGCGUAGAUAUCCGGAGGAACACCGGUGGCGAAGGCG